CCUACGGGUGGCUGCAGUGGGGAAUAUUGGACAAUGGGCGAAAGCCUGAUCCAGCCAUGCCGCGUGUGUGAAGAAGGCCUUCGGGUUGUAAAGCACUUUCAGUGGGGAAGAAAGCCUUGGGGCUAAUACCCUCGAGGAAGGACAUCACCCACAGAAGAAGCACCGGCUAACUCCGUGCCAGCAGCCGCGGUAAUACGGAGGGUGCGAGCGUUAAUCGGAAUUACUGGGCGUAAAGCGCGCGUAGGCGGUCUGAUAAGCCGGUUGUGAAAGUCCCGGGCUCAACCUGGGAACGGCAUCCGGAACUGUCAGGCUUGAGUGCAGGAGAGGAAAGUAGAAUUCCCGGUGUAGCAGUGAAAUGCGUAGAGAUCGGGAGGAAAACCAGUGGCGAAGGGCGCCUUCUGGACUGACACUGACGCUGAGGUGCGAAAGCGUGGGUAGCAAACAGGAUUAGAUACCCCAGUAGUC
rnacentral:rRNA from 1 species